rnacentral:rRNA from 1 species
GACGAACGCUGGCGGCGUGCUUUAACACAUGCAAGUCGAGCGGUAAGGCCCUUUCGGGGGUACACGAGCGGCGAACGGGUGAGUAACACGUGGGUGACCUGCCCUCAGCUCUGGGAGUAAGCCUGGGAAACCGGGUCUAAUACCGGAUAUGACUCCAUGACGCAUGUUGUGGGGUGGAAAGCCUUGUGCGGCUGAGGAUGGGCCCGCGGCCUAUCAGCUUGUUGGUGGGGUGAUGGCCUACCAAGGCGACGACGGGUAGCCGGCCUGAGAGGGCGACCGGCCACACUGGGACUGAGACACGGCCCAGACUCCUACGGGAGGCAGCAGUGGGGAAUCUU